CAUGGUGGUGGAGAUGUGGGGUUAUGGUAUGGGCCCCAUGGUGGAGGUGGGGUUAUGGUAUGGGCCCCAUGGUGGCGGUGGGGUUAUGGUAUGGGCCCCAUGGUGGAGGUGGGGUUAUGGUAUGGGCCCCAUGGUGGAGGUGGGGUAUGGGCCCCAUGGUGGCAGUGGGGUUAUGGUAUGGGCCCCAUGGUGGAGGUGGGGUUAUGGUAUGGGCCCCAUGGUGGAGAUGUGGUUAUGGUAUGGGCCCCAUGGUGGGGUUAUGGUAUGGGCCCCAUGGUGGCAGUGGGGUUAUGGUAUGGGCCCCAUGGUGGAGGUGGGGAUAUGGUAUGGGCCCCAUGGUGGAGAUGUGGGGUUAUGGUAUGGGCCCCAUGGUGGAGAUGUGGGGUUAUGGUAUGGGCCCCAUGGUGGAGAUGUGGGGUUAUGGUAUGGGCCCCAUGGUGGAGGUGGGGUUUAUGGUAUGGGCCCCAUGGUGGAGGUGGGGUUUAUGGUAUGGGCCCCAUGGUGGAGGUGGGGUUUAUGGUAUGGGCCCCAUGGUGGAGGUGGGUUUAUGGUAUGGGCCCGAUGGUGGAGGUGGGGUUUAUGGUAUGGGCACCAUGGUGGAGGUGGGGAUAUGGUAUGGGCCCCAUGGUGGAGAUGUGGGGUUAUGGUAUGGGCCCCAUGGUGGAGAUGUGGGGUUAUGGUAUGGGCCCCAUGGUGGAGAUGUGGGGUUAUGGUAUGGGCCCCAUGGUGGAGAUGUGGGGUUAUGGUAUGGGCCCCAUGGUGGAGAUGUGGGGUUAUGGUAUGGGCCCCAUGGUGGAGAUGUGGGGUUAUGGUAUGGGCCCCAUGGUGGAGAUGUGGGGUUUGUGGUAUGGGCCCCAUGGUGGAGGUGUGGGGUUAUGGUAUGGGCCCCAUGGUGGAGAUGGGGUUAUGGUAUGGGCCCCAUGGUGGAGAUGUGGGGAUAUGGUAUGGGCCCCAUGGUGGAGAUGUGGGGUUUGUGGUAUGGGCCCCAUGGUGGAGAUGGGGUUAUGGUAUGGGCCCCAUGGUGGAGGUGUGGGGUUAUGGUAUGGGCCCCAUGGUGGAGGUGGGGAUAUGGUAUGGGCCCCAUGGUGGAGCAACACUAUGUCAACUAAACAGGAUCUGAUUGGAUCGAGCCCUGGGUUUUUCUGAUUUAAAAACUAAAAUAAUUGUGUGACUUCCAGCUGUUUUUAAAUCGACAUGCACCACAGCAGGUAAUUGUUCCAUCUGUUUUCUAUGUAAAUAUCAACCCCC
rnacentral:lncRNA from 1 species